rfam:Hordeum vulgare subsp. vulgare, WGS project CAJW01000000 data, contig: morex_contig_95444
NNAGAGAUGGAUGAGUGGACUAAAGCGGUGGAUUGUUAAUCCGUUUUACAAUUUUCUUGUAACGAGUGUUCGAAUCCCUCUCUUUCCG